UACGGAGGGAGCUAGCGUUGUUCGGAAUUACUGGGCGUAAAGCGCACGUAGGCGGCUACUCAAGUCAGAGGUGAAAGCCCAGGCUCAACCUUGGAACUGCCUUUGAAACUAGGUAGCUAGAAUUCUGGAGAGGUCAGUGGAAUUCCGAGUGUAGAGGUGAAAUUCGUAGAUAUUAGGAAGAACACCAGUGGCGAAGGCGGCUCACUGGCCCGGUACUGACGCUGAGGCGCGAAAGCGUGGGGAGCAAACAGG
rnacentral:rRNA from 1 species